AUUUUAAGGCAAAUGCUGCAUAUUAUAUGUAGAGGAAAGUCCAAGCUCACACAAUCUGUGAUGAUUGUAGUGUUUGUGCUAAGGGAAAAAAUAACCUUAGGUAGUGUAUUACACUAACGGCUUCGAAAUAGUCCUUAUGGGAUUAAAUUAGAUAUAAAAGUGCCAAAGAGACGAGUUCAGGGAGUAAUUUCUGGAGUGGAACGUGGUAAACCCCGCAAGUGAGAAACUCAAAUAUUGGUAGAGGAGUCUUUGCUAGGAAUUAAGAACGAUGCAAAGGACCUACUUUGUAGGUAGAUAAAUAUUUGCCACCCUAUAUAGGGUACAGAACGUGGCUUAUUAAA
rnacentral:RNase_P_RNA from 1 species